rnacentral:siRNA from 1 species
GUGGCUAAGUUUGGGAUCCAACC